AUGAAAACCGCUCUCGUUCUCUUGCUGACAUCAGCCUUACAACAAGCCGCGUUUUGGGGGACUAAUGGAGACCUCGUGUCCAAAGCCCCCUGCAGACCCGGCUUCUCGCAAAGUUCCUACUCUGUGCUCAUUUCAAGGGAUGUACUGCAAAGCCAGAGCAUAAUUAAAGAUAACAGGCUGAAGGGCAUCAGACUGUCUCUGCUCCAAUGUCCCACCGUACUGGCUGGAACACACAUAGUCACCCAUCUGCCUCUGGAGCCAUGUGUGUGAGUGAGUGUGUGCAUGUGUUUUGAGUGUGUAUGCCUGCAUCCGCAUCAGUGUGUGUGUGUGUGUGUGUGUGUGUGUGUGUGUGUGUGUGUGUGUGUGUGUGUGAGAGUGUGAGAGUGUGAGAGUGUGAGUGAGUGAGUGAGUGAGUGAGUGAAGGGGUCAUUCUCCCCCCAGGCAGGGCAGAGUGCCUACGGCCAUAUGACCUGGCUGCCCAGCCUCUAAUAUCUGAUCAAGGACCAUCUGCUGUGGGUGAGAGACACACUCUCUUUCUGCUCCUGUGUCUGUCUGACCUCUCCAAGGAGAGCCCGCUGGGAAAUCAGGACACUGUUAGAAUAGUUCUGGUCACCAUUUGAGGGAAAAAUCUGCAGAUGGAAAUUAGAUUACUCCCACAACGCUGCUAUUUGUUUAUUUAUAUUGGCUAUUUAUUUGGGAAGAUGCUGUGAACAUGCGGCCAAUUUAUUCUCUCUCUCUCUCUCUCUCUCUCUCCCUCCCUCUCCCUCCCUCUUUCUGUCAGCCUACCCUGGCCAACAUGAAAUGUGGCAUCUCCUCAGAUCAAAAUCUUCACCUCCUAGAACCAAAGGACUUGAAUUGUAUUGAAGCUAUUGGAGUUUUUAUAUAACUAUUAAAUUUGUCCGGGUCGCCUUUGUUAUUUUUUAUUGCUAUCGACCGUGACCAGUGACAGAUUGCUAUUGAUAUUGACAGCCUGAGCUGUGGGUGAGAAUAGAAAGGUGUUCAGUGUCUGGGCGCAUCGCGAUGUAAUUAGUUUGGAAUCCACGGCUAAACGCCACAAUUAUCGCUGCAGUAAAGUGUGUGUGUUCAGCUGACAGAAGGAGUGAGUUACUGUGUGUGUGUGUGUGUCCGAGUGUGUUUGUGGUUGUAUGUUUGUGAGCCAUUCUACUAUGUUUCACUGUAUUAAAUCAACAUUUUGAGGUACUAUAGUUGCCAUAUUGUGUAACACUGCUGGCUGAACACAGAACACAACAUUUAUUCUAUGUGUUGGUGGGUGUGUUUAGGUAUAUGUACUCCCCACUAUGGCCCUCCUACACUCUUAGAAAAAAGGGUUCCAAAAGUGUUUUGGGGCUGUCCCCAUUGAAAAAACAUUUUGGUUCAAGGUAUAACCCUUGCGGUUUGCAUGUAGAGCAUUGGGCCAAUAACCGAAAGUUCGCUGGUUCCAAUCCCCAAGCUGGCAAGGUGGAAAAAUCUGCCGUUCCACCCUUGAGCAAGGCAGUUAACCCCUAACAACAACUGCUCACUGGGCACCGAUAACGUGGACAUUGAUUAAGGCAGCCCCCCCGCACCUCUCUGAUUCAGAGGGGUUGGGUUAAAUGCGGGAAGACACAUUUCGGUUGAACCCUUUCUUUUUCUCCUCUGGGGACAGCAGAAAACCAUUGUCUGUUGUGUGACUUAAGCUUCCCGGCUUGCCAAAUGCCGUCUCUGCUCUCUCAAGAGGGCCCGUUGCCACCUGUGAGAAUCGAACAGUUGCCUAGCGAGCAAUACACACGGGUUAGUUAGCGCUGCAGCACUUUGUGUUUUCAUUCCUCCAUCGCAGUAGUAAUUAAUCCAGUCGAAACCCGUAGCGCUAGCAAAAUAAAUGUUUUCAAUUUUCAUUAAUAGACAAGUCAUUAGUACAUAAUGAGAGAGAGCGAGAGCGCUGCUCUCUCUACUCUCUACCUGGCACUGAGCCUUAUAUAGAGUGGAGCGCAGGCUACACAGCCCCCUAACUCACUGCUAAUUACUACGCUGCUACGCUCUCUACUUUCCUGUUCUCUUCCUUUCUUUAAAAGAGGGAAGGUAUGGGCUUUAAUAGCAUUUUGAUUUACUAACACUAUGUCAUUGUAUGCCGGUGUUUUAGGGGGAUAGAGAAAGAGAGGGGGAAAAAAAAAGACAUCUGUUACUUACCGCUUGCUAAAUGAUUAUUAUUAUGCCUAGUGGCAAAUUGUGUUGUUCCUUUAGCCUUUCCAAGGGAGUCCGAGUCGGUGAUACUUUUUUAUUUUCUACAUGAGCACUAAUGCUUUGUUAGACAAUAGAGGGGCAAAGUACAGCCUGACACCCAUGUUCACCUCACGCUCAGACGCACCAGACUACCUCCGUUCUCUGUGUGUGCUUUCAAAGAGCACUGUGAGUACAGUGCAAAUAGCACCCACUUCUCUCGACACACUCCCAUUCAGCAAAGACUGAGGGGGAAAUAAUGAAUGUGCACGCUGCUGAAGUAGUGUCAACUCUGUGGCGGUGAACUUUCUUCAGCGCUGUAAUCCAGAGCUUCCUGUAAAAAGGUGACGUCUUCCUGUUUGCGUGGGCCGCCUGCAGCCUGCUCUCCGUCAGUAGAGAAUAACAGCAGCGCUGACCUUUCUCUCAGCAGACGGGGGGG
rnacentral:lncRNA from 13 species